ensembl:lncRNA novel transcript, antisense to AP1S2
AGUGCCUCCCGUGCAAGUCCUGAAGAUAGCGGCAUUCGAAGGGGGCAGGAAGUGAAGCAUCAACUGGGCAUUUACUGCAAACCCGUUACCAGAACUUGGAAAAGAAUGGACCUCGUAUUCCUAGAUCUUGGUGACCAGAAAGGGUGAGGGUUUGCCUGCGAAGAGUAUGGGCUCAAGGCUGUCUGGAGCAGGGUCCUGUAUCCGCCCUACCACUUUGCAGGACGAAAAAACAAUGUAUUCUCCUUAAAAUAAAUUAUGUCCUAACAUGGGACGAAACCCGGUUGCAAA